GAAUUCGCCCUUAGAGUUUGCUUCUGGCUCAGGACGAACGCUGGCGGCGUGCCUAACACAUGCAAGUCGAACGAAGCAUUUGGAUCUGAUCUCUUCGGAGUGACGAACCUUAUGACUUAGUGGCGGACGGGUGAGUAACACGUGAGCAACCUGCCUCUCAGAGUGGAAUAACAGUUGGAAACGGCUGCUAAUACCGCAUAACGUCAUAGUACCGCAUGAUACCUUGACCAAAGAUUUAUCGCUGAGAGAUGGGCUCGCGUCCGAUUAGGUAGAUGGUGGGGUAACGGCCUACCAUGCCGACGAUCGGUAGCCGGACUGAGAGGUUGAUCGGCCACAUUGGGACUGAGACACGGCCCAGACUCCUACGGGAGGCAGCAGUGGGGGAUAUUGCACAAUGGGCGCAAGCCUGAUGCAGCAACGCCGCGUGAGGGAAGAAGGUCUUCGGAUUGUAAACCUUUGUUUUUAGUGAAGAAAAAAAUGACGGUAGCUAAAGAGGAAGCCACGGCUAACUACGUGCCAGCAGCCGCGGUAAUACGUAGGUGGCAAGCGUUGUCCGGAAUCACUGGGUGUAAAGGGUGCGUAGGCGGGACAGCAAGUUGGAUGUGAAAUACCGAGGCUUAACCUCGGGGCUGCAUCCAAAACUGUUGUUCUUGAGUGAAGUAGAGGUAGGCGGAAUUCCGAGUGUAGCGGUGAAAUGCGUAGAUAUUCGGAGGAACACCAGUGGCGAAGGCGGCCUACUGGGCUUUAACUGACGCUGAGGCUCGAAAGUGUGGGGAGCAAACAGGAUUAGAUACCCUGGUAGUCCACACUGUAAACGAUG
rnacentral:rRNA from 1 species